GUUGAAAACAAUGAUCUCCAUACUCUAGGCCAAUGAUUAUGUCAGAGGGCCUUUCGAAGUCGAGAGCUCCAUUUAUGAAACGAUCUUAUUAAUCUGACAUCAUAAUAAGCGAUUAAUCAAGUGGCAUUAACAAAGCCCCUGACCAAUGGCCACAACGCAGCAGACACCUGAGGCUGAGGCUGAGGCUGAGACUGAGACUGAGGCUAAGGCACCCCAGCCAGCACGAUCGGCAGCUGCUCCAAUCCACCCGCACUGUAACCCGCAUUGGACAUACUAUACACAUCUCUCUCGAGCGAGCGAGUCAGGAGCUCAAACAAAUUGAAUUCGCAUUGUUUGCAUAAUUGCUGGCCAUUUGUAAACCGAGUGAAUUCGAGUGACUGUGCUCACGUUUAUGUCGCAGAAUCGAAAUGAAUAAUUUUAGCAGAAUUCACAGAGAGCGUAUCCUCCUUAGCCUC